rnacentral:ncRNA from 1 species
CCGGUGUAACUGGCGACUAGUGGAAGAGACCACAAUGGAGCACCGGAAUAUACGGCCGGUCGCCUGGGCAA